rnacentral:hammerhead_ribozyme from 1 species
AUUCAUCUAACGAGUUCCAAAUAGGACGAAACACGUGUACUGGAU